UUGAGGGUAGUUAGUAAAUGGAGACAAAAUAGUUGAGAAGACCCCUUCUUGUGUUUUUUCGUUGAAGUGACAUGAGUUCAUAUGAACAUUGUUAAGAUUGGUAUUUCAUUCAACAUUCAUUUAGAUCCAUUGCCAUUCUCAAUUCGCAUGCGAUUAUCACAUUCUUGCACUCUCUCUAUUGCUUGCUAUGGCUUUAAUUCAAAUGUGGAGCCAGAAAUCUAGUGAUAUUUUCUUGGCCUGUAAUAGAUCUGUCUUACGGUUGUUAUGGAUGUGUUCUUCCAUCCUCUAUUCAAACUUCAAAGAGGGGGAGUUUUGUGGAAGUCAAUUUUUUGGGUAACUUUAUGGGACAUCUAGCUCAAUAGGAGUUUGCAUACAUCUUUGGGAUACAUCUUUGAGAUGGAAGGUCUAACAAGUAUCUUAGUUAAAACAAAUGUGGGUCUUCAUUAUAAUCUUUCCUUCAAAAUAAACAGGACAAAUAUGCUGUGAACUUUGCCAUUGUGUUCCUCCUUAAAAGAAAAUGCUGUUUUUCCCCCUUAGCUGUAUAUCCACGUGUCACACUUCAUAUUGGCGAUGGUAGUCAGCUAUGCUUAGUUUUUUCUCCCUAGCCAUGGACUUCUGCUUGGAUUCUUCUUGCUUUUAAACGUUUACAGGAGUUUCAUUUUUGAAGGCUGUCCCGAAGGGACUUAUGAUGCUAUUAUAGUGGAUUCUUCUGAUCCCAUAGGUAAACUAUCUGCCUGAGGGUAUCUUUUCACGCUGUAAUUUUCGAGUGCAUCUUCAGGUCCUGCACAACAGCUUUUUGAGAAGCCAUCCAUCUUUGAAUCGGUAGCCAGAGCUCUUGGAUCCAGAGGGGUUUUGUGUGCACUCCGGCUACAUGGCUUCAGAUGCACGUUAUUGGAGACAUAGUGGCAAACUGUCUCCAAGUAUUCAAAGGCUCUAGAUAAGAUGUGAUCAUCAUAUCUGGCUGCAACGUUUCCACAACUUUUGCCAAGAAGGUGUUAUUGAUUCAAUAGCAAAAUGAGGAUUGGUUUGGGUCUUCAUUUUCAACCAAA